rnacentral:rRNA from 1 species
GGCAAUGCCCGCAAGGGUGACCCAGCAACGCCGCGUGGAGGAUGAAUGUCGUAAGAUUGUAAACUCCUGUUAGAGGGGAAGAAUAGUACCGGUUGGACCGGUAUAUGACUGUACCCUCAGAGAAAGCCCCGGCUAACUACGUGCCAGCAGCCGCGGUAAUACGUAGGGGGCAAGCGUUGUUCGGAUUUACUGGGCGUAAAGGGCGCGUAGGCGGCGCGGUAAGUCACUUGUGAAAUCUCUGAGCUUAACUCAGAACGGCCAAGUGAUACUGCUGUGCUAGAGUGCGGAAGAGGCAACCGGAAUUCUUGGUGUAGCGGUGAAAUGCGUAGAUAUCAAGAGGAACACCUGAGGAGAAGGCGGGUUGCUGGGCCGACACUGACGCUGAUGCGCGAAAGCCAGGGGAGCAAACG